rnacentral:lncRNA from 1 species
AGUUUAAACGAAACUAGUAAAGUAUGACCACCACCCACUUUUCCCAUUUUGAAAUAUGGAAUUGGAAUUUGAAAUUCUAUUAUCUAAAUAUCGAAUCAGAUAGUAGAAAUAUUAAGUUAUUAAGUGGAUCAAAUUGACAUAUAAUUUUGAUUUUUGGAAGUAGUAAGAUGCUCUGGUAGUUUGAUCAGUGCAUAAUUAUAUAUCAUUUUGUACCCU